UAGCAUUUCAACUUAUCAUCAUUCGUAGGUGCAAAGGUUGUACUGGUCAGAAUUUAGACCAGACACCAAAAUAUGGCUUCGUUUUGGCUUACAACUGGUCUAUUGUUGAUUCUUUUAACCACCCUAACUACGGCUGAUGUUCAGAAAACGUUUGUUUCCUGACAAAAAAGCGGUGAUGCCAGCCUCUGACAGGAACUGCAACAGGCUGGAGCAGUGGUCAAAGAUGACGCUGAGAAAACUUCCGAGCUAAAGGUAAAAUGGAAAAGAGAUGCAGAGAGGCGAGAUGAUAUUAUUGAACGGUUCGUUGCGAUGAGAAAGAAGAGUUAAGA